rnacentral:rRNA from 1 species
GGACUACUGGGGUUUCUAAUCCUGUUUGCUCCCCACGCUUUCGCGUCUUAGCGUCAGUAUCGAGCCAGAAAGCCGCCUUCGCCACUGGUGUUCUUACGAAUAUCUACGAAUUUCACCUCUACACUCGUAAUUCCACUUUCCUCUCUCGAUCUCAAGUUCCACAGUAUCAAAUGCACCUCCUAGGUUAAGCCCAGGGCUUUCACAUCUGACUAAUGGUACCGCCUACACGCCCUUUACGCCCAGUAAUUCCGAACAACGCUAGCUCCCUUCGUAUUACCGCGGCUGCUGGCAC